AUCUAACUCUGGCGGCAGGCUUAACACAUGCCAGUCGAGCGGGCAUCCUUGUGGUGUCAGCGGCAGACGGGUGAGUAACGCGUGGGAACGUGCCCUUCGGUUCGGAAUAACUCAGGGAAACUUGAGCUAAUACCGGAUACGUGCGAGAGCAGAAAGGUUUAUCUGCCGAAGGAUCGGCCCGCGUCUGAUUAGCUAGUUGGUGAGGUUAUGGCUCACCAAGGCGACGAUCAGUAGCUGGUCUGAGAGGAUGAUCAGCCACACUGGGACUGAGACACGGCCCAGACUCCUACGGGAGGCAGCAGUGGGGAAUAUUGGACAAUGGGGGCAACCCUGAUCCAGCCAUGCCGCGUGAGUGAUGACGGCCUUAGGGUUGUAAAGCUCUUUUCUUCGGGACGAUAAUGACGGUACCGGAGGAAUAAGCCCCGGCUAACUUCGUG
rnacentral:rRNA from 1 species